UUUGACCCACUUGAAUUGGUCCGGUUCGUGAAACAUGUAGAGAAGCCCGUCUACUUGAAGCAUUGGUGUCUAAGUGAAGCACUUAAGGAAAACUAGGGCUACCUAAGUGUAUAUGGGAACUAAUCUUAGAAUAUUUAAUUUGGUAAGAUUUGAUUUUGUAAUGUUAAACGAUCAUGUAAAUAUCUUAAGAAUCUCAAUUGUAGAUAGGCUUUAAUCUCGACCAUCGAUGUAAAAGAAACUGUACCGUUGGAUCUGGGUG
rnacentral:lncRNA from 1 species